AUUGAACGCUGGCGGCAGGCCUAACACAUGCAAGUCGAACGGUAGCACAGAGAGCUUGCUCUCGGGUGACGAGUGGCGGACGGGUGAGUAAUGUCUGGGAAACUGCCCGAUGGAGGGGGAUAACUACUGGAAACGGUAGCUAAUACCGCAUAAUGUCGCAAGACCAAAGAGGGGGACCUUCGGGCCUCUUGCCAUCGGAUGUGCCCAGAUGGGAUUAGCUAGUUGGUGAGGUAAUGGCUCACCAAGGCGACGAUCCCUAGCUGGUCUGAGAGGAUGACCAGCCACACUGGAACUGAGACACGGUCCAGACUCCUACGGGAGGCAGCAGUGGGGAAUAUUGCACAAUGGGCGCAAGCCUGAUGCAGCCAUGCCGCGUGUAUGAAGAAGGCCUUCGGGUUGUAAAGUACUUUCAGCGGGGAGGAAGGCAAUGCGGUUAAUAACCGUGUUGAUUGACGUUACCCGCAGAAGAAGCACCGGCUAACUCCGU
rnacentral:rRNA from 1 species